AGCGAACGCUGGCGGCAGGCUUAACACAUGCAAGUCGAACGGGUACCUUCGGGUGCUAGUGGCAGACGGGUGAGUAACACGUGGGAACGUACCUUUCGGUUCGGAAUAAUACAGGGAAACUUGUACUAAUACCGGAUACGCCCUUCGGGGAAAGGAUUUAUCGCCGAUAGAUCGGCCCGCGUCUGAUUAGCUAGUUGGUGAGGUAAUGGCUCACCAAGGCGACGAUCAGUAGCUGGUCUGAGAGGAUGAUCAGCCACAUUGGGACUGAGACACGGCCCAAACUCCUACGGGAGGCAGCAGUGGGGAAUAUUGGACAAUGGGCGCAAGCCUGAUCCAGCCAUGCCGCGUGUGUGAUGAAGGCCUUAGGGUUGUAAAGCACUUUUGUCCGGGAAGAUAAUGACUGUACCGGAAGAAUAAGCCCCGGCUAACUUCGUG
rnacentral:rRNA from 1 species